rnacentral:rRNA from 1 species
GUUAGGAAUCUUGCGCAAUGGGGGAAACCCUGACGCAGCAACGCCGCGUGAAGGAUGAAGGCUUUCGGGUUGUAAACUUCUUUUAGCAGGAAAGAACACAAUGACGGUACCUGCAGAAAAAGCACCGGCUAACUCUGUGCCAGCAGCCGCGGUAAUACAGAGGGUGCAAGCGUUAUUCGGAUUUACUGGGCAUAAAGAGCGCGUAGGCGGUUUAAUAAGUCUGAUGUGAAAUCCCUGGACUCAAUCCAGGAAGUGCAUCGGAUACUGUUAGACUCGAGUACAGGAGGGGAGAGCGGAAUUCCAGGUGUAGAGGUGAAAUUCGUAGAUAUCUGGAGGAACAACAGUGGCGAAGGCGGCUCUCUGGACUGUUACUGACGCUGAGGCGCGAAAGCGUGGGGAGCAAACAGGAUUAGAAACCCCUGUAGUCC